rnacentral:rRNA from 1 species
UGCGUAGGCGGGCUAAUAAGUCAGUGGUGAAAUCUCUCGGCUCAACCGGGAAACUGCCAUUGAUACUGUUAGUCUUGAGUUCGGUUGAGGUAGGCGGAAUGUGUAAUGUAGCGGUGAAAUGCUUAGAUAUUACACAGAACACCAAUUGCGUAGGCAGCUUACUAGACCGACACUGACGCUGAGACACGAAAACGUGGGGAGCGAACAGGAUUAGAUACCCUGGUAGUCC